rnacentral:rRNA from 1 species
ACGGAGGGGGCUAGCGUUGUUCGGAAUUACUGGGCGUAAAGCGCGCGUAGGCGGCUUUGUAAGUUAGAGGUGAAAGCCCGGAGCUCAACUCCGGAACUGCCUUUGAUACUGCAAAUCUCGAGUCCGGAAGAGGUGAGUGGAAUUCCUAGUGUAGAGGUGAAAUUCGUAGAUAUUAGGAAGAACACCAGCGGCGAAGGCGGCUCACUGGUCCGGUACUGACGCUGAGGUGCGAAAGCGUGGGGAGCAAACAGGA